UACGUAGGGUGCGAGCGUUAAUCGGAAUUACUGGGCGUAAAGCGUGCGCAGGCGGUUAUGUAAGACAGGUGUGAAAUCCCCGGGCUUAACCUGGGAACUGCAUUUGUGACUGCAUCGCUGGAGUGCGGCAGAGGGGGGAUGGAAUUCCGCGUGUAGCAGUGAAAUGCGUAGAUAUGCGGAGGAACACCGAUGGCGAAGGCAAUCCCCCUGGGCCUGCACUGACGCUCAUGCACGAAAGCGUGGGGAGCAAACAGG
rnacentral:rRNA from 1 species